UUAGAAGUACCAAAUUUAAGGAUAGAUUCAAGAUAUGCAGAAGUAUAUAAGCUUAGAAAUUAUUCAAACCAUCCUGGAGGAGCAAAUUUUUAUGAAGAAGCCAGCAGAUGUCAAAAGAAAUAAAAAGAUUGGAACAAAUGAAGCUUUGAAAAAGAACAGUGAUAUGACAAUAUUGAAUAAAUGUUUUGCAUUUCUA